rnacentral:rRNA from 1 species
AUUGAACGCUGGCGGCAGGCCUAACACAUGCAAGUCGAACGAGUGGCGGACGGGUGAGUCAUGUCUGGGAAACUGCCUGAUGGAGGGGGAUAACUACUGGAAACGGUAGCUAAUACCGCAUAACAUCAGAUGUGCCCAGAUGGGAUGAACUGGUUGGUGGGGUAACGGCUCACCAAGGCGACGAACCCUAGCUGGUCUGUGAGGAUGACCAGCCACACUGGAACUGAGACACGGUCCAUACUCCGACGGGAGGAAGCAGGGGGGAAUAUUGCACAAGGUGCGCAAGCCUGAUGCAGCCAUGCCGCGGUUAUGAAGAAGGCCUUCGGGUUGUAAAGUACUUUCAGCGAGGAGGCGUUACCCGCAGAAGAAGCACCGGCUAACUCCGUGCCAGCAGCCGCGGUAAUUC